UCUGGCAACAAAUAAGUUUUUAACCAAAAUUGCAAAACAAAAUGGCAAAACCCAUAUUGUACUUUUUGUAAGGCUGAACUGGAAUCAAUUGAACACAUACUGUGGGACUGUUAUUAUGUACAACAAUUUAUUGAGCAAACUGAAAUGUAGUUUCUCUAGAAUGGUAUUAGUAUACCAUUUACAAAAGAUAUUUCUUGUUUGGAAAUUUAUCACGAAUGUACAAAGGUGACCCUCAAAACAAUAUUUUUCUCUGGAUUAAACAAUAUAUAUAUAAUACAAGAUAUCUUAAAGGAGAAUUAAGUUUAACAGCAUUGAUUGACAAAAUAAAUAAACUCAUCAUAGAUACCAGGACUAAAUAAACAUCAUUAUAUUUUGGAGAAGAAGAUAUCAAUUUACAAGAAUGUGUCCAUAGUACACGGAUGCCCCAAUCGCACUAUCAUUUUCCAUGUUCAG
rnacentral:lncRNA from 1 species